GUAAGGGUCAGGGACUUUGUUUCUGGGAACCUGCCAGGUUGGGGUUUGGAAGGAAGUAAUGGGCCUUGUUUGGUGGUGGGGAGGGGGGCAAAGUGUGGGGGUUUCUCAUUGCAGAAGAGAAUUUUCAGAGGAUAGACUCCAUUGCCAAAGGCAGGGAAAGGCAGAAGUAUGGAAAACAGCUGGGGUCUGACAUGCUGUAGGCAGCCAGCACUUUCUCUUGAAAUGAGAAACAUUCUGGCAAAAAAAAAAAAAAAAGAGAAAAAGAGAAAUGGAUGUUCCCAGAAGAGUGGCAAAGAGAGAGAGAGAGAGAAAUAUUCUCAUCUCAAGGAAGGAGGGAGAGAACGUAGGGAGGCCAUGGCUCCCAUAUUACAUUUCCUUAACUGCAGAAUUAUUUGUUUUGUUUAUUCGCCAUAUCAUUU
rnacentral:lncRNA from 10 species